rnacentral:misc_RNA from 1 species
AUAAAUGUUACUUUCAUUUUUGGAAACAUGUGCUACCUUGGGAAAUGGGGCAGGUGUUAAACUAAUUCAGAUCUAUAGAAUUCAAGUAUGACUUCUCUCCGAGUGAUGUGUGUUGGGCUGGCAUGUGUUGACAUUGUAAGCGUUUGUAAAAAUUAUCCCGAAGAAGAUAGUGACCAAAGAGUUCUGGAUUUCUACUGGCAGAAGGGCGGCAAUGCUGCCAACUCCAGCUCCGUGCUGUCACUGCUGGGAGCAGAGUCCGAGUACUUGGGAAGCUUUGCCAAUGACAAUGAGAUGAGAUUUUUACAUGAGGAUUUUUCCAGUAUGGGGGUGUCCACCUCUCACUGUCGUACUUUUGACUCUGGGUUCAUGACCCCCACCUCCAUCAUCAUAGUCAACUCACAGAAUGGAUCCAGGACCAUUCUUCAUGCCAGCAAAAAUUUGCCAGAAGUAUCUUUAGAGGAUUUCAAAAGAAUAAAUCUAAGUCAUUAUAAAUGGAUACAUUUUGAGGGAAGACCUAGUUUCAACACACCAACCCAUGAGAUAGUCCGGAUGCUAGCUCAUAUUGACCAACACAACAACUCCAGGUCUGAAUCGGAGCAGCUCCAGACGUCAGUGGAACUUGAAAAACCAGCCAGACCAGAAUUAGGUGUGCAAGAAGAACACCUGGAUUCCCUUUUAUAUUUAUAUUUAUUUUAUUAAAUGAUAAUACUCCAUUUUAAGCUUCAAAACUGUUUCUCAAUCUCCAAAAAUUAUGGGUUGAUAGACAGGAGAGUCAUAAUUCCAAAAAGUAAGUACCGGUAGUUGUAAAUCUAUUGCACUCCAAAAAAAGUCUACAUCCAGGCUUAAGUAUUCAAAGUCAAACCUCUCAUACAUGUACAUUUUCAGAUCAGCUUUUGGAUAAGGCCAAUUAUGUGUUUGUCAGCAAGGAGUAUAGCCAGAAUAAAGGACUGACCAGCAAAGAGGAGGCAGUCAAAGCUUUUAUUCAGAAAUGCAGACAGGGGGCUUCGGUUAUCUGUGCCUGGGGUGAGGAUGGUGCUGCUGCCAUGGAUUCGCAGGGUCAGCUAGUGACGUCCUGCUGCUUUCCUCCUGAUAAACUCCGAGACACUCUAGCAGCCGGAGACACAUUCAAUGCUGCCACUAUUUUUGCUCUGAUGGAGGGAAAGACAUUGGGUGAAGCCAUUACAUUUGGUUGCAAGGUAGCUGGUGCCAAGUGUGGGAUUCAAGGAGUCAGAGGACUAAGAGAUAUUAAAUUCUCUUAAAAAUUAUAAUAUCAAUAGUGUAGCUUAAAAAUACCAAGAUCUGUUUAUGUAAAUGCACUGAUUUGUUUCUAUUGUUAAGAAUAUUAAUUGGCUUCUGAUAUUUUGUUGAUUGUAUCUUUUUAAUAAACAUUUUUUUAUACACAA